rnacentral:lncRNA from 1 species
GACCUCAGGAUCCACCAGCAGCCCAAGACACCUCGGAAGCUGUUUCAAGGACAAGCGUCGCCUGCACACGUCAGCACAAAUGGGAACAUGAUGAGUGAUGCUGCCUGGAGUUAAAGGAGGCCAGGAGCACCAGAAGCUGGAGGAGGCCGGGGUGGAUUCUCGCCUGGAGGCUUCAGUGGGAGCACGAGCUCCCGACACUUCGGUUCCAUCUCUUGUUUAAAGGCACCCAGUUUCUCAUCAUUUGUUACAGCACCAUGGAAAACCCACACACAAGUGAAGCCCCGACCCACCUCCCAAGUGCCCAUCUGAGCACCCCUCGUGGACUCUGAGCAGGGGGUUGCCAUCACCAACUCCAAGUCUUGCAGCCCCUCUUCCCUUCAGUCUGGCUGCCACCUUCUUCAUUGCCCUGGAAAAAAAUAAUGAAGUUUCACCAUUUAAAGGGUUUCAGUGCAGCUUGCUAUGGGAACACUGGAGAGUAACACAAAUGGCCAAUUGUCCUAAUAGCCACCAUGGAUUGGAUGGAUGCUAACAACAGGCUCACAGUUCUCCUUCUGUUGCCUCCUUUUAUCCACAUGAGAAUCAAACAAGUAGGUGCUGCUGGUAUUACUGUAUUUUUCUCAUUUUAAAGAUCAGGAUGGGGAGGGUUGAGGAGGUUAAGGAAGUUGUUAGAAGUUACACUGAAGUUAAGAAAGGAAAAAGGACUUAGAAACUUAUUCUUCCAACUUUAGAACCACGGUCAGUGACCAAGGCCCUGCUUAGAACUUUCUGAAGGUUGCAGCUGGCCUUCUACCUGGAGUUUUGACUUCCUUUCCGAGAAAGGAACUUGAAUGGCAAUCACAAGAAAGUUGAGAACUUCUCUUUCAUAUUUUAAGCAUUCAUUUUUUUUUAUAUUUAUUUUAAUUUACAAAUACUAAUUGUAUAUAUGUAUAAGGUAAGAUAUGAUAGUUUGAUAUGGCUACCUUGUAAUAAAAUGAGCCUCAUUACCAA